rnacentral:rRNA from 1 species
UCUACGGGAGGCAGCAGUGAGGAAUAUUGGUCAAUGGACGAGAGUCUGAACCAGCCAAGUAGCGUGAAGGAUGACUGCCCUAUGGGUUGUAAACUUCUUUUAUAUGGGAAUAAAAUGUUCCACGUGUGGGUUUUUGUAUGUACCAUAUGAAUAAGGAUCGGCUAACUCCGUGCCAGCAGCCGCGGUAAUACGGAGGAUCCGAGCGUUAUCCGGAUUUAUUGGGUUUAAAGGGAGCGUAGGUGGAGUGUUAUGUCAGAUGUGAAAGUUUGCGGCUCAACCGUAAAAUUGCAGUUGACACUGGCAGUCUUGAGCACAGUAGCGGUGGGCGGAAGUCGUGGUGUAGCGGGGAAAUGCUUAGAUAUCACGAAGAACUCCGAUUGCGAAGGCAGCUCACUGGACUACAACUGACACUGAGGCUCGAAAGUGUGGGUAUCAAACAGGAUUAGAUACCCCAGUAGUC